GGAGGGAUGGCAGAGCGGACGAUUGCGGCGGUCUUGAAAACCGUUGUGGAUUUAUACACCGGGGGUUCGAAUCCCUCUCCCUCCG
rnacentral:tRNA from 1 species